GACGAAGCGAAAGUGACGGUACCCGCAGAAGAAGCACCGGCUAACUACGUGCCAGCAGCCGCGGUAAUACGUAGGGUGCAAGCAUUGUCCGGAUUUAUUGGGCGUAAAGAGCUCGUAGGCGGCUUGUCACGUCGGGUGUGAAAACUCGGGGCUUAACCCCGAGCCUGCACUCGAUACGGGCUAGCUAGAGUGUUGCAGGGGAGACUGGAAUUCCUGGUGUAGCGGUGAAAUGCGCAGAUAUCAGGAGGAACACCGGUGGCGAAGGCGGGUCUCUGGGCAACUACUGACGCUGAGGAGCGAAAGCGUGGGGAGCGAACAGGAUUAGAUACCCUGGUAGUCCACGCCGUAAACGUUGGGCGCUAGGUGUGGGGAACCUUCCACGUUCUCCGUGCCGUAGCUAACGCAUUAAGCGCCCCGCCUGGGG
rnacentral:rRNA from 1 species